rnacentral:rRNA from 1 species
UAAUACGGGGGGUGCGAGCGUUGUCCGGAUUCACUGGGCGUAAAGGGCGCGUAGGCGGCUUACUCAGUCCGGUCUUCAAGCGCGGGGCUUACCCCCGCGAAGGGCCGGGGACGGGUGGGCUGGGGGCCGGUCGAGGGAUGCGGAAUGCCGGGUGUAGUGGUGAAAUGCGUAGAGAUCCGGCGGAACACCGGUGGUGGAGGCGGCAUCCUGGGCCGGAACCGACGCUGAGGCGCGAGAGCGCGGGGAGCGAACCGGAUUAGAUACCCGGGUAGUCCGCGCCGUAAACGGUGGGCACUAGGUGUGGGGGGUAUCGACCCCCUCCGCGCCGGCGCGAACGCAGUAAGUGCCCCGCCUGGGGAGUACGGCCGCAAGGCUA